CAGAGAAGGUAUAUAAAUCUACAGCUGAUGUGAUUAAAGUUCUGCAGUUCAGAUCCGCUGAUGAAUGGUCCCAUACCGUAUCCACAGCGUCCUCAUGGUGCAGGCGGUCAAACCUCCACCUCUUUGAAGAGACCAAGCAGCUUAAUGACUGACUGUUCUUUAUACUCCGGACCUCGUCCCGGAGUUGAGGACAGACCUAAGGCCCGCAGCGCAGCCGACUAGAGACUCUCUGUGGAACCGGUUCAAUAAAGUUGACCUCUCCUUCAGGCGACUUAAAGGGAGACCAGAUGUGCGGCAGCUGGGUGUCAUGGUGCAGAGACCCAACGCUGUACUGAACUACACCAGUGUGUCCUACUCCCCAUAAACCCUGAGGAUCCCUGGAUGGCUACACCAGCACAUUAAUCCACACCCAACAUUAACACACAGUGCACACUCUAUAGAGCUUGUGGGUCCGCCCCUUGCGGCGGGACCUCGUGAGAUCGUAAAAUAUGACUGGGUUUUAAUGGAGAGAAAGUAAUUAUUUUCUCCCAUUUUAUGUUGCACCACAUUUUGGGGGAAGAAUGUUUGAUCAAUCUUUGUCAUUUUUUUCUGUACUCCAUAUCUGUAAUCCCAGCUGUUGUAUUUUAACACGGUAGCUGGGAACCCUCUUUAUAGGGAGCGACUAGAGGGACGAGGCUGGAAGCAAACCUGAGCCUGGAUCUUAACCUUCUUUCUAAACCUAAUGCCGCAAUUUAACUGCAAAUAAAGUGAGGCCUAAAGUAACUUGACUCUCUUACCUAAACUUGCUUGCCUAAACUCGCUUGUCUAAACUCGCUUGCAUAAAACCUAAACUCGCUUGCAUAAAACCUGAACUUGCUUGGCUAAACUUGCGUCGCUUGCCUAAUACCCGAACUUGCUUGCCUAAACUCGCUUGCCUAAUACCUGAACUCGCUUGCCUAAACUCGCUUGCCUAAUACCUGAACUCGCUUGCCUAAACUCGCUUGCCUAAUACCUGAACUCGCUUGCCUAAACUCGCUUGCCUAAUACCUGAACUCGCUUGCCUAAACUCGCUUGCCUAAACUCGCUUGCCUAAACUCGCUUGCCUAAUACCUGAACUUGCUUGCAUAAAACCUAAACUUGCUUGCAUAAAACCUAAACUUGCUUGCAUAAAACCUAAACUCGCUUGCAUAAAACCUAAACUCGCUUGCAUAAAACCUAAACUCGCUUAGCUUGACUCGCUUGCCUGUACUCGCUUGGCUAAACUCGCUUGCCUAAUACCUGAAGUCGCUUGCCUGAAGUCGCAUGCCUAAUACCUGAAGUCGCUUGCCUAAAACCUAAACUUGCUUGUCUAAACACGUUACACAAAGUUAACCAUCCAUAAUCUUUAACCCAAACCAGACUUGUCCCUGGGUCGCUCCACUUUAAUUUAGAAGUUUCUUCUUUUACCUCAUCUGCGUUUUGAGUUUCAUUCUUUGAGGGCUUGAAGUGCUUUGGAGGAUAUUUGAACCUUUGUUUGCCGCAUCAAUAAACAUGCUUUAUCUUUACCCAUUUUGUUUUGGAUUGCAUUUCUAUGUGUAAUCCGGCCAAAUGUUCAGUGUCCUUACAUGUAAUGUCUAUGGUCUGAUGAUAAUCUGACCUCUUCAAGAGACGGCCUGCCAACGUCUCUUUAGCAAAAGGUUGGAGAGUGAAAUUCAUUUUUGUGCCAUUUUCAUGUGUUCCUGAGUAUUUCAGACCUGUGGUAUUUCACAUGAGACCUUAAUGGGAACUUAUUUUUCUGCCUGCAUACGUAAUGCCUACAUUAGUAGGGUGAUCACUGUUGAUCCCAAUAUUGAUCAUUAACCACCUCAUUCUUUUAUGAUUUUUUUUUUAUAAGGAUUACAAAUCAUGUAAUUUAUGAGCAUAUUUGCAAAUGGCUCCAAAUAUCAGAGUGUGUAAAAACUAAUGAAAUGUAACCUGCUUGAUUUAAAGAAAAUAAAACAUCCAAAUAUUAUAAACCUG